rnacentral:rRNA from 1 species
UACGAAGGGGGCUAGCGUUGCUCGGAAUCACUGGGCGUAAAGGGUGCGUAGGCGGGUCUUUAAGUCAGGGGUGAAAUCCUGGAGCUCAACUCCAGAACUGCCUUUGAUACUGAGGAUCUUGAGUUCGGGAGAGGUGAGUGGAACUGCGAGUGUAGAGGUGAAAUUCGUAGAUAUUCGCAAGAACACCAGUGGCGAAGGCGGCUCACUGGCCCGGUACUGACGCUGAGGUGCGAAAGCGUGGGGAGCAAAGCGGG